AAUGGGUCAGCGACUUAUAUUCUGUAGCAAGGUUAACCGAAUAGGGGAGCCGAAGGGAAACCGAGUCUUAACUGGGCGUUAAGUUGCAGGGUAUAGACCCGAAACCCGGUGAUCUAGCCAUGGGCAGGUUGAAGGUUGGGUAACACUAACUGGAGGACCGAACCGACUAAUGUUGAAAAAUUAGCGGAUGACUUGUGGCUGGGGGUGAAAGGCCAAUCAAACCGGGAGAUAGCUGGUUCUCCCCGAAAGCUAUUUAGGUAGCGCCUCGUGAAUUCAUCUCCGGGGGUAGAGCACUGUUUCGGCAAGGGGGUCAUCCCGACUUACCAACCCGAUGCAAACUGCGAAUACCGGAGAAUGUUAUCACGGGAGACACACGGCGGGUGCUAACGUCCGUCGUGAAGAGGGAAACAACCCAGACCGCCAGCUAAGGUCCCAAAGUCAUGGUUAAGUGGGAAACGAUGUGGGAAGGCCCAGACAGCCAGGAUGUUGGCUUAGAAGCAGCCAUCAUUUAAAGAAAGCGUAAUAGCUCACUGGUCGAGUCGGCCUGCGCGGAAGAUGUAACGGGGCUAAACCAUGCACCGAAGCUGCGGCAGCGACGCUUAUGCGUUGUUGGGUAGGGGAGCGUUCUGUAAGCCUGUGAAGGUGUGCUGUGAGGCAUGCUGGAGGUAUCAGAAGUGCGAAUGC
rnacentral:rRNA from 1 species